ensembl:lncRNA
GCACAUGGUGAGGGUCGGUGGCAAAGGAACAAACUGCUUAUGCUGCCUGGCGGUGGCUUCGAAAUAAAAUCCAAUGGGAAAUUUUAGUUUCUAGCUGUCCCCAACACCUGCAUGGGGCUUUAUGUAACGUAUUACAUACGGGUAUAAGUAUUCCCCCACUAACCCUCAUCCAAUGGCUCUUGUAAUGCAGAAACAAAUCUUUUUUUUUUUUACAGGGAUAUUUUGUUUUACUCUAUCAUUAAUGGAAUUCUUUGCGAUCAUUACUCUCCCCUGUCUGUCUGUCUGUAAUGCAAGGGGAGAGGCGCAUACUUUCACUAUCAAAAUGAUUAGACAAAGACUGGACCAAAACUGGAAAAAGUAUGUCUUGGUCGUUCCCACGCAAAUAAGCCACACUGUCGCACUAGGUCGCACUGUUUGUAAAGUAGUAUGGCCAGAAUUUGAGGAAAUAAAACAAAAACAAAAACAAAAAAAAUAUAUAUAUAUAUACUCAUAAUUCUUUUUUUAAUGUGUUCGGUAGGAAAAAUACAAACAUUUAAAGUUUUCAAAUUCAGAAAGACAAACCCGUUGUUGUAUCCAGCGUGGUUCCCAUUAAUAAUUUGAUCCUUUAUGAGGAACUAUAUGAACACCAGCCAUACCUCAAGUCCUCUUCUGCCUUUGCGUGCAGGCUGCCAGACAUCUGGACGUUGUCUCUUUUACGACCGGCAACCUGAGCUAAUGCUCGGUCUGAACUCGGUACACCAGCGUCAGCAUGAUUUGUGUUGUUAAGCUGCCUGCAGAAAGUCUCCGCCAACGUCCACAAUCUUCUUAAUCACAGAUCUUUCUUUGGUCAUAUUGGGUUUUUGUUUUAUGGCUAAUGAAUGGAACGUGCUUUAAAUAUACAGCAAAAACACAUGAUUGGAUGGAGACACAGUUGUUGCUAUAAACUUUUACAUUUAAGUUUUGAAAAUUGAACUUGACAUUGAGUACUUUACUUUGCGGUCUUUAAAUCCAUGUUCAUAUCUCGCUGCAAUGAUUUGCAAAAAAUAAUCAGAACUUCUCAAUGAAGCCCCACGGUUCAAAAAUGC